GGGGAUAACCUUGCGAAAGUAAGACUAAUACCCAAUGACGUCUCUAGAAGACAUCUGAAAGAGAUUAAAGAUUUAUCGGUGAUGGAUGGGGAUGCGUCUGAUUAGCUUGUUGGCGGGGUAACGGCCCACCAAGGCAACGAUCAGUAGGGGUUCUGAGAGGAAGGUCCCCCACAUUGGAACUGAGACACGGUCCAAACUCCUACGGGAGGCAGCAGUGAGGAAUAUUGGUCAAUGGACGAGAGUCUGAACCAGCCAAGUAGCGUGCAGGAUGACGGCCCUAUGGGUUGUAAACUGCUUUUAUAAGGGAAUAAAGUGAGUCUCGUGAGACUUUUUGCAUGUACCUUAUGAAUAAGGACCGGCUAAUUCCGUGCCAGCAGCCGCGGUAAUACGGAAGGUCCGGGCGUUAUCCGGAUUUAUUGGGUUUAAAGGGAGCGUAGGCCGGAGAUUAAGCGUGUUGUGAAAUGUAGACGCUCAACGUCUGCACUGCAGCGCGAACUGGUUUCCUUGAGUACGCACAAAGUGGGCGGAAUUCGUGGUGUAGCGGUGAAAUGCUUAGAUAUCACGAAGAACUCCGAUUGCGAAGGCAGCUCACUGGAGCGCAACUGACGCUGAAGCUCGAAAGUGCGGGUAUCGAACAGGAUUAGAUACCCUGGUAGUCCGCACGGUAAACGAUGGAUGCCCGCGGUUGGU
rnacentral:rRNA from 1 species